rnacentral:rRNA from 1 species
UACGUAGGGUCCAAGCGUUAUCCGGAAUCACUGGGCGUAAAGCGUGCGUAGGCGGGAGCUUAAGUGAGUUGUUAAAUCGUGUGGCUCAACCCUAUCGAUGCAGCUCAUACUGGGUUCCUAGAGGAAGGCAGAGGCAAGUGGAAUUUGUAGUGUAGCAGUGAAAUGCGUAGAUAUUACAAGGAACACCAAUGGCGAAGGCAGCUUGCUGGGCCUUUUCUGACGCUGAGGUACGAAAGCGUGGGGAGCGAACAGG